rnacentral:rRNA from 1 species
AGCUCCAAUAGCGUAUAUUAAAGUUGUUGCAGUUAAAAAGCUCGUAGUUGGAUUUCUGGUGUGAGGGAACGGUCCGACCUCUGGUGGGUACUUGCUUCCUCUCACGCCAUCCUUGAGUGGUGCGUUCUGGCAUUCAGUUGUCGGGACGUUAGCCGCUCAUCGUUUACUGUGAGAAAAUUAGAGUGUUCAAAGCAGGCUUAUGCCGUUGAAUAUAUUAGCAUGGAAUAAUAAGAUAGGACUUCGGUACUAUUUUGGUGGUUUGCGCACCGAUGUAAUGAUCAAUAGGGACAGUUGGGGGUAUUCGUAUUCAGUUGUCAGAGGUGAAAUUCUUAGAUUUACGGAAGACGAACUACUGCGAAAGCAUUUACCAAGGAUGUUUGCA